UACAGAGGUCUCAAGCGUUGUUCGGAUUCAUUGGGCGUAAAGGGCGCGUAGGCGGUCCGCUAAGUUAGAUGUGAAAACUCUGGGCUCAACCCAGAGCCUGCAUCUAAUACUGACGGGCUAGAGUUCUGGAGGGGGUAGCGGAAUUCCUGGUGUAGCGGUGAAAUGCGUAGAUAUCAGGAGGAACACCGGUGGCGAAGGCGGCUACCUGGACAGAAACUGACGCUGAGGCGCGAAAGCUAGGGGAGCAAACAGG
rnacentral:rRNA from 1 species